rnacentral:lncRNA from 1 species
AUUUAUCGUUUGGGAAUUAUAUGGUUUAUAAUGAUUUUUUAAUUAAUAAUAAUGACCAUGGGGAUAUGGGUUCGUAUGUAGCUUUAAAAAAAGGAUACGGUACUGUAAAUAAUAAUGAACCAUUGCAUAAGGAUAUGUAUAGUACAUCAAAAAUUAGUAUGUACAAUAAAAGAAAAUUUAGAAGUAUAAAUGAUUCGGAUAUGCAGACAAAUAACUUAAAAAAAAAGAUAAUAAUAAUGAUUCAAUGAAAGUAAAUAUUAUGGGACUAUAUCAGAAAAAAAAAAAUGUCGAUAUUUCUAAUGAAGCAUGUAAAGAUAAUAAUUAUUUUAUAAAACAAAAACAAAACUUAAAUAAUAUUGAAAGUUUUUAUUCAAAUCAAAAGGUUGUAAAAGAAGAAAAUUUAUUUAAAUUUAAAAGGAAAGAAUUAACACAUAUGAAAAACGAUAAGGAAUUAAAUUUUUUUUUUUGUCAAAAUUGUGAUAAUAGUCAUAAUGUUUUUUUUUCGUAUGGAAGUGACGAUAAUGACAAUAAUAACAAGUUUGAAGAAAUAAUUAAUAUCGGAAAAGUUGUAAGUAAAAAUCCAUUUCUAUAUAUGAACAUUUUUAAUAAUGCUAUUCUUAAAAAAUUAACAGAUGAAUCACAAAAAAAGUUCAAAGGAGAAAAUGAUUUUGAAGAAAAGGACAAAUCGAAGGGGGUAGAAGAGUUAGAAAAUUUACAUCAUGGUUUGAAACAUAACGGAUUUUUUAAUAAGGGUAAUAAUGAAAGUAGCGCUAUCGGUAACGGUAGCGGUAACAGUAACAGUAAUAGCAACGGUAACAGUAAUAGUAACAGUGAUAACAACAGUAACAGUAAUAGUAAUAGUGAUAACAACAGUAACAAUAACAGUAAUAGCAACAGUAACAGUAAUAACAAGGGUAAUAACAGCAUUAACAGUAACAGCAACAACCAUAACAACAAGGUUGUCGAAAAUAAAAAUACAGAGCAACAUGUGGACAAUAAGAAAGAGCACGUUAACAUCCAAUUUGUCAAAGUUACUACUGAUGAUAGCUAUUCGAAUAUAACUUGUAAAAAAAACGAUCAUACUAUAAACGCCUGCUCCAACAAUUUAGAUCAUACAAAUACAUGUUCAAAUAAUAUUGAAAAAAUAGUAGAAAAUAACGAAAAAUCAAAAUUGUUACAUAAUAAUGUAAUAAUUAAAGAAGAAAAAACAGAUAAAAAUAUUUAUUGCGAUUUAUAUGUAGUUAAAAACAUGAUGGUUUUUAUUAUUCAUAAUUCUAAUUUUUGUGAUAAUGAUGUUGAUAAUAUUAUUAAAAAUAAUUUAUAUUUACCUAUAUAUAUUACUAUUAUAAGUGAUAAAACAAUGAUAAAAAACAAAUUAAAUGAACUGGAAUAUUUUAAAAUACCUAAUUUUUUUAUUACUUAUGCAGAAUAUAUUUUAUAUUUUAUAAACGCUAUACUUUAUCAUAUUUAUUGUGAGAUAACAAAUAAAAUAUUGUUAGUUCAUGAAAAUUUGAUAUAUAUUUUAAAUCAGUUAAGUGAUAAUAAGGAAACUGUUUUAAAAUUAAUAGAAAACAAUCAGACACAUCUACAAGUCAACAACACUGAUAGUAGUAUAAGUAGUAAAGAGUUAAAUACUUUAAAUGUUAAAAAUACUGUGAAAAACUACCAAAUAAACAGUAACAAUUAUAGUAACAAUUACAGUAACAAUUACAGUAACAAUUACAGUAACAAUUACAGUAGCAAUUACAGUAGCAAUAACAAAAACAAUAGUUAUUCCAUUUCUGAUAAUUUAAAAAAAAAUAUAAAAGCAAAAAAUUAUAACAAUCGGGAUGAUAAUUAUAUUUUAUUAUUUCAAGACGUUGAAUUAGUAUGUAGUUUUCAAGAAGAUUACAACAGUAAUGCAUAUUACAAUGACGGAUUAAGUAAAACUGAAAAGAACAAAAAAACAAGUUUAGAUAAGCGAUUUUUUUUAAAAAUUUCACAAAAGGAAAUGAUUUUAAUUGAAAAAGAUAGAAUAACAAAUGUUGUAGAAGAUACAAAUAUGUAUAUUAGUGUAAAUUAUAUUCUUGUUUUAAGUAAAACAAAUAAUUAUAUAAAUAAUAAUGACUUACUCAUAUUUAUUACUAAAUGGAAUACAUUUAAAAAUAAUUAUAUCGAAAUUUUUCCAUUAAAUAUUGAAACAUUUACAUAUAUGAAUAUACUAUUUAGUAAAGAAAAUACGAUAACAACAAAAGAGUUGUUCAUAAACUUUUUAAAAAAACAUAAAAAAAAAACAUUUUCUUCAUGUUUAUUUUUAAUUAAAAUAUCUGAUGAAUUUGAAAACUUAAAGCAUCUUUUUUAUUUUUACAAAAAUAUAGAAAAACGUGAGAAAAUUAGGAAUGUGAAUACUACACAUUUGUUAAGUAAUAACAUGCGAAAACAAAUUCAUACCGAUCCUAACAACACCGAUGAAAUAAAUUACGAUUUUAUUGGAAGCAAGAUUGGAAUAAAGAAUUGCAUAAAUAAAUAUACAAAUUAUUUUACUGUAUUAAAUAAUGUAUUAAUUGAUUACAAACACGAAUUAGUACAUAAUAUUUAUAAUGAUCAAAAACUGAAUAAACAACAAAAGCAAAUUAUAGAAUGUGUAGUAAAUUGGUUUAAUUACAAAAAUGUUAAUAUUGGAAAGGGGGGAUAGCUUGGAAAUAGAAAAACAGCAUAGAAAAAAUGAAACAGGCGUGUUAAAUAAUGGCAACAGUAGCGAUAGCAAUGAUCAAUACUGUUCAUGUGGUAAUAACACAGACAGUAGCAACAGCUGUUUGCUUGUUAAUGGAAUAUUUGGGUCAGGUAAAAGUACACUAAUAUGUAAAACGAUUUUAUAUAUAAAUAAAAUUUUAAGUUAUGAAGAAGAAUUAGAAGAA